AAGACGAUCGGUACUAACCUAUUGGAUCUAAACGAGCCAUGGCAAAGUAUUGACGUGGCCCCGCCAAUGGCAGAUUUGAUGCAUGUAUUUCCAUGUAUAAGAGGAUGGAGGUCUAUUAUUCCGAUUCAACCCCUUAAAAUAACGCACUCCUCAAGUUAUGCCGGUGGUACUCCAUAGUGUUGAGUUGGAGUGCAGAAUAAUCACAUGCAUUAGAUUUAUAUGCUCAUGGGCGGACC
rnacentral:lncRNA from 1 species